rnacentral:rRNA from 1 species
UACGUAGGUGGCGAGCGUUGUCCGGAUUUACUGGGCGUAAAGGAUGCGUAGGUGGAAACUUAAGUGAGAUGUGAAAUCCCCGGGCUUAACCUGGGAACUGCAUUUCAAACUGGGUAUCUAGAGUGCAGGAGAGGAAAGCGGAAUUCCUAGUGUAGCGGUGAAAUGCGUAGAUAUUAGGAAGAACAUCAGUGGCGAAGGCGGCUUUCUGGACUGUAACUGACACUGAGGCAUGAAAGCGUGGGGAGCAAACAGG